AAAAAAGCCUCCUGAGGCUUCUGGUUGCCCUUGCCCAGAAAGGGCAGCCAAGUCAAACACAAGAUUUGGACUCUAAAAGGAGACCUCGAAGACUUUUUCAACUUUUGGAAUCACAUCAAUGAGCAAAGAGGAAAGAUUUCUGCGUGAUUUUUUUCCAAGUCCUGGAGGUAGAGUGUUAUCAAGUACCUGAAGGAAAGCAUGCCAGGUCGCCAAGAAUGGAUGUUCCAGGCCUCUGCAAACCAAAUCUCACUGAACUCCAGCAACAGGCUUCAACACUGACAAGGACAGCCAGGUCUUCGGGGAGCUGGCUAGAGCCCAGACACAUGCAAGCAUUUGCACAUACUGAAGCUAAUCCCGUCAGCAGCUCUUUUAUAUGAUGGAAAGGACACCAUGAAAAAAACACACAGGACAAAAAGAUAUUGGGAACAAUGCAUCUUAAUUUCUGGAG